rnacentral:rRNA from 1 species
ACGGUGCUGAAGCAACAAAUGCCCUGCUUCCAGGAAAAGCCUCUAAGCAUCAGGUAACAUCAAAUCGUACCCCAAACCGACACAGGUGGUCAGGUAGAGAAUACCAAGGCGCUUGAGAGAACUCGGGUGAAGGAACUAGGCAAAAUGGUGCCGUAACUUCGGGAGAAGGCACGCUGAUAUGUAGGUGAAGUCCCUCGCGGAUGGAGCUGAAAUCAGUCGAAGAUACCAGCUGGCUGCAACUGUUUAUUAAAAACACAGCACUGUGCAAACACGAAAGUGGACGUAUACGGUGUGACGCCUGCCCGGUGCCGGAAGGUUAAUUGAUGGGGUCAGCGCAAGCGAAGCUCUUGAUCGAAGCCCCGGUAAACGGCGGCCGUAACUAUAACGGUCCUAAGGUAGCGAAAUUCCUUGUCGGGUAAGUUCCGACCUGCACGAAUGGCGUAAUGAUGGCCAGGCUGUCUCCACCCGAGACUCAGUGAAAUUGAACUCGCUGUGAAGAUGCAGUGUACCCGCGGCAAGACGGAAAGACCCCGUGAACCUUUACUAUAGCUUGACACUGAACAUUGAGCCUUGAUGUGUAGGAUAGGUGGGAGGCUUUGAAGUGUGGACGCCAGUCUGCAUGGAGCCGACCUUGAAAUACCACCCUUUAAUGUUUGAUGUUCUAACGUGGACCCGUGAUCCGGGUUGCGGACAGUGUCUGGUGGGUAGUUUGACUGGGGCGGUCUCCUCCUAAAGAGUAACGGAGGAGCACGAAGGUUGGCUAAUCCUGGUCGGACAUCAGGAGGUUAGUGCAAUGGCAUAAGCCAGCUUGACUGCGAGCGUGACGGCGCGAGCAGGUGCGAAAGCAGGUCAUAGUGAUCCGGUGGUUCUGAAUGGAAGGGCCAUCGCUCAACGGAUAAAAGGUACUCCGGGGAUAACAGGCUGAUACCGCCCAAGAGUUCAUAUCGACGGCGGUGUUUGGCACCUCGAUGUCGGCUCAUCACAUCCUGGGGCUGAAGUAGGUCCCAAGGGUAUGGCUGUUCGCCAUUUAAAGUGGUACGCGAGCUGGGUUUAGAACGUCGUGAGACAGUUCGGUCCCUAUCUGCCGUGGGCGCUGGAGAACUGAGGGGGGCUGCUCCUAGUACGAGAGGACCGGAGUGGACGCAUCACUGGUGUUCGGGUUGUCAUGCCAAUGGCACUGCCCGGUAGCUAAAUGCGGAAGAGAUAAGUGCUGAAAGCAUCUAAGCACGAAACUUGCCCCGAGAUGAGUUCUCCCUGACCCUUUAAGGGUCCUGAAGGAACGUUGAAGACGACGACGUUGAUAGGCCGGGUGUGUAAGCGCAGCGAUGCGUUGAGCUAACCGGUACUAAUGAACCGUGAGGCUUAACCUUACAACGCCGAAGGUGUUU